rnacentral:rRNA from 1 species
AUUUCCAAGUCUGGUGCCUUGGAGGGCAAGUCUGGUGCCAGCAGCCGCGGUAAUUCCAGCUCCAAUAGCGUAUAUUAAAGUUGUUGCAGUUAAAAAGCUCGUAGAUGAAUUUCGGGAUCAAUAUUUGGGUCAUGCCGUUGGUAUGCACUGUUAUCAUUGAUUUCUCACCUUCUAAAGAACCGUAAUGCCAUUAAUUUGGUGUUACGGGGAAUUAGGACUGUUACCUUGAAAAAAUUAGGGUGUUUAAAGCAGGCUCACGCCUGAUUACAUUAGCAUGGAAUAAUGAAAUAGGACAUCCGAUUCUAUUUUGUUGGUUUCUAGGAUCGAUGUAAUGAUUAAUAGGGAUAGUUGGGGGCAUUAGUAUUCGAUUGUCAGAGGUGAAAUUCUUGGAUUUAUUGAAGACUAACUACUGCGAAAGCAUUUGGCAAGGAUGUUUUCAUUAAUCAAGAACGAAAGUUAGGGGAUCGAAGACGAUCAGAUACCGUCGUAGUCUUAACCAUAAACUAUGCCGACUAGGGAUCGGAUUAUGUUAAUUUUUUAAUGACUCAUUCGGCGC